AGCUUCUGGAUUUGGUAGUAUGUUGUGUGUAUUAAUGCAUUGUUUUUGAUGUAUAAAUCACUACAGUCACCUACUCUGAAUGCUUAAACUAGUUGAUGUUGAGCAGUCCAGAGUGCCGAUAUGGCACCGUGUUUCAAUUAUCCUCCAAGGUUUGAAUGUUCUCUCCAUCAAUAGGGGGAUUCAAGUAAUCAACUUGUGGAUGUUGUUCAACAUACAGAGCUUUUUAUUAACUUCUACUCUGAGUGCCUAGCGGAUAGACAGAGAAGAGAAUAUCUGCAACCAGACCCUAUUGGAGCUCAGUCCUGAAGAAAAAGAAGCAACACUACUGGCUGAGAAACAUGCAUUGUGUAACGAAGUCAUUCCCCUCCAACCCAAUGCCAUUGUCUUCCCCUAAAAACAAUCUGCUUCUCACCCCAAAUCAAGGUGAUUGUCUAUCCCCCAAGGUAACUGUUAAUGUUAAUGUGCAGUUUAGUUUUUAUUUUAUUUUUACUGCAGUUUAGUCAAGUUAAUUGUUUAGUUAGUUUGAUUGACUUGAGUUAAAACAUGUGAUGUGGGAGAAACCACUUAUUGGCUUAGCUUUGGGCCUUAAGAAAAUAUGUAAGGCUGUGUGUUUUCCUCUGUAAGUAGACGAAAACAAAGAAAUAGAAAAAAGGGCUGUAGAAAAAAGUGCAGAAAUGGAAAAUCAAAAGACCAGCAAAUAAAGCUAGAACUUCUUCACAAAUCUUCUUCUUUUAAUUUCUCAAAUUGUUCCUCUGUGUUCAGUUUUUAGACGACUUUUCAGAUUGUUUUCUUCAGGUCUUGAGCUCCACUCCUCUGUCUUUUCCUGGAAAUUGUUUGUGUAUUUGUGUUGUGAAGUUGUUGAACAAAUCAGCCAAUGUUAGCUCUGCAUCUUGGUUCUACAGCCCUAAUUACUCAUUGAGAAGAUAUAAGUUCUGGUGUGAACGAAGUGGAUGGAAUUUUCAGUGUAUACAUAUGUUUACUUUGUGCUUAAAAUUCUGUUUUGUUCAUUGUGAGCGCAGGUUGUAUUU